AUGGGUGUGGGUUCCAGGAAGAAGCACUGCAGCGGCAGCGUUGUGUCCUGUGUAGUCCUAUGCCUAGCCCUGCUCGUCGUCGGGGCGACCGCCAAGAAGAGCAUACGCCAGUGCAUCGCUGAGUGCACUGGCAGUUCGAAUCCAAAAGGCUGCAUGACAUAUUGCAUCAGGGAAGCCGUGGUGCUGGUGGCCCAUGGAGAGGCAAGAGGAGUAGGAGGAGAAGGAAUUGGGCUGCUGGCGACGCCGGUGGAGCGUGCCAGCCAGGAGGAAGAAGAAGAGAAGAGGAAGCAAGAGGCCGCCGGCGCCGACCAACUGACUUUCGACCCGUGCGAUAUGUGCCAUCCAGAUGACUACUGGUACGAAAUGUGCAUGAGGGUAUGUCAUCGUUAG
rnacentral:rRNA from 1 species